GAAUUGAAGAGUUUGAUCAUGGCUCAGAUUGAACGUUGGCGGCAGGCCUAAUACAUGCAAGUCGAACGGCAGCACGAGGAGCUU
rnacentral:rRNA from 1 species